rnacentral:rRNA from 1 species
GCCAGACUCCUACGGGAGGCAGCAGUGGGGGAUAUUGCACAAUGGGGGAACCCUGAUGCAGCGACGCCGCGUGGGUGAAGGAGCGUUUCGGCGCGUAAAGCCCUAUCGGCAGGGAAGAAGGAGGACGGUACCUGACUAAGAAGCCCCGGCUAACUACGUGCCAGCAGCCGCGGUAAUACGUAGGGGGCAAGCGUUAUCCGGAUUUACUGGGUGUAAAGGGAGCGCAGGCGGCGCGUUAAGCCUGGUGUGAAAGCCCGCGGCCCAACCGCGGGACUGCAUUGGGAACUGGCGCGCUGGAGUGCCGGAGGGGUAGGCGGAAUUCCUAGUGUAGCGGUGAAAUGCGUAGAUAUUAGGAGGAACACCAGUGGCGAAGGCGGCCUACUGGACGGUGACUGACGCUGAGGCUCGAAAGCGUGGGGAGCAAACAGGAUUAGAUACCCUCGUA